rnacentral:rRNA from 1 species
CCUACGGGAGGCAGCAGUGGGGGAUAUUGGACAAUGGGGGAAACCCUGAUCCAGCGACGCCGCGUGAGUGAAGAAGUAUUUCGGUAUGUAAAGCUCUGUCAGCAGGGAAGAAAGACAUGACGGUACCUGACCAAGAAGCCCCGGCUACCUACGUGCCAGCAGCCGCGGUAAUACGUAGGGGGCAAGCGUUAUCCGGAAUUACUGGGUGUAAAGGGAGCGUAGACGGUGAUGCAAGGCUGGAGUGAAAGGCGGGGGCCCAACCCCCGGAAUGCUCUGGAAACUGUGUAACUUGAGUGCAGGAGAGGUAAGCGGAAUGCCUAGGGUAGCGGUGAACUGCGUAGAUAUUAGGAGGAACACCAGGGGCGAAGGCGGCUUACUGGACUGUAACUGACGUUGAGGCUCGAAAGCGUGGGGAGCAAACAGGAUUAGAUACCCGAGUAGUC